GAUAAGUUGCGUUAGGGAUUGCAGUGAAAAGCCCACAGCGACGCAGGAGCGAGGACUUGCAACGUAAAGCCCGACCCCUU
rnacentral:sRNA from 1 species